GUCCCGGCAGCCGAUUUCCGGGUGGCUUAAAGGGACCGCGCCCCCGCAGGCUCCGCAGAAUGUGGCGGAAGCGUGUUUCUUCCGCCGGGCCCCGGGAAGUGCGAAUGUGGCCGUCAGUCUCGGGACUCUCUCUGGCUCAGUUUUUCCACCCCGCGCCACUUGUGCCCGAUGUUAGUGAUGCUCCUGUCCCCGCCUCCUGAAUGCUGGAAUCCCAGAAGUGAACUACCCUGCCCAUCCCAGUUUUUUCGUUGCUGUAAUUUGGGAAAGGAGCAUGCAUGCCAUGGCGCAGGCGUGGAGGCCAGAAGAUCCUGUAGACGUCGGGGUCUAAGGAUUAGACUCCCACAUGGGGUCUAGGGAGCAAACUCAGGCUUGUCUGCACACCAUGUGUGCAGUGCCGGCAGCGGCCAAAAGAGGGCGUCAUCUCCACUGGAACUCGAGUUAAAAGUGAAGCUCAGUGUGGGUCUUGGGAAACCAACCCUGAAAGGGCAGCCAGUGCGCCUACCCAAGGAGCCAUCACCCCAGCCUCUACACACGUUUUUAAAAUAACAUUUUAAUGGGCUCAGGCUAUAACUAAGUGUAUGAGAACUUCUCCAGGAUGCGUGAAGUCCUAAACGCACACACACACGCCACCACCUACGCAGUCAGUUCAGCGGGGGCAGAGCAU